GUCUCGCUGUUGGAGCAGCUCCUGGUACCGGAUAACGCCGUUAUUCAGCAGGCCACGAAGCGGCUCCGUGAGGCCUUGAAGGAACCGGGGGCUGUGGGGAGCCUGGCCCAGAUCGUCGGUGGGGAACAGAGGCCGCAGGUGGGGGCCCCAUAGAGAUACAUGGGGACCCAUAGAGACCCACAGGGACCCCAUAGGGACCCAUAGAGACCCAUAGAGACCCCAUAGAAAUACAUAGGGAACCAUAGAGAGACAUGGGGACCCAUAGGGAUACAUAGAGACCCAUAGAGACCCAUAGGGACCCAUAGAGCCCCAUAGGGAUACAUAGGGACCCAUAGAGACCCCAUAGGGACUCAUAGAGACCCCAUAGGGACUUAUAGAGAUACAUAGGGAACCAUAGGGACCCAUAGAGACCCAUAGAGAAACAUGGGGACCCAUAGGGACCCAUAGAGAUACAUUGGGACCCAUAGGGACCCAUAGGGACCCAUAGAGAUACAUGGGGACCCAUAGAGAUACAUUGGGAUACAUGGGGACCCAUAGAGACCCCAUAGAGAUACAUAGAGACCCAUAGGGAGACAUGGGGACCCAUAGGGACCCAUAGAGAGACAUAGGGACCCAUAGAGACCCAUAGGGACCCAUAGAGACACAUGGGGACCCCAUAGAGACCCAUAGGGACACGUAGAGAUACAUUGGGAUACAUGGGGACCCAUAGAGACCCCAUAGAGAUACAUGGGGACCCCAUAGGGAGACAUGGGGACCCAUAGAGACCCAUAGGGACCCAUAGAGACACAUUGCGACGCAUAGAGACACAUAGGGACCCAUAGGGACCCAUAGAGGCCCCAUAGAGGUACAUGGGGACCCCAUAGGGAGACAUGGGGACCCAUAGAGAUACAUAGAGAUACAUAGGGACCCAUAGGGAGACAUGAGACCCCAUAGAGACCCAUAGAGUCCCAUAGGGACCCAUAGGGAUACAUAGAGACCCAUAGGGAUGCAUAGAGAUACAUAAGGACCCAUAGGGACCCAUAGUUGCCCCAUAGGGACCCAUAGAGACCCCAUAGGGAGACAUGGGGACCCAUAGAGAUACAUAGGGACCCAUAGAGAUACAUAGGGACCCAUAGAGAUACAUAGGGACCCAUAGAGACACAUAGGGACCCAU
rnacentral:lncRNA from 1 species